rnacentral:rRNA from 1 species
CCUACGGGCGGCAGCAGUGGGGAAUAUUGGACAAUGGGGGCAACCCUGAUCCAGCCAUGCCGCGUGUGUGAAGAAGGCCCUCGGGUUGUAAAGCACUUUCAGUGAGGAAGAACGCCUGGUGGUUAAUACCCAUCAGGAAAGACAUCACUCACAGAAGAAGCACCGGCUAACUCCGUGCCAGCAGCCGCGGUAAUACGGAGGGUGCGAGCGUUAAUCGGAAUUACUGGGCGUAAAGCGCGCGUAGGUGGCUUGAUAAGCCGGUUGUGAAAGCCCCGGGCUCAACCUGGGAACGGCAUCCGGAACUGUCAAGCUAGAGUGCAGGAGAGGAAGGUAGAAUUCCCGGUGUAGCGGUGAAAUGCGUAGAGAUCGGGAGGAAUACCAGUGGCGAAGGCGGCCUUCUGGACUGACACUGACACUGAGGUUCGAAAGCGUGGGUAGCAAACAGGAUUAGAUACCCCAGUAGUC